rnacentral:rRNA from 1 species
GACGAACGCUGGCGGCGUGCCUAAUACAUGCAAGUAGAACGCUGAAGCUUGGUGCUUGCACUGAGCGGAUGAGUUGCGAACGGGUGAGUAACGCGUAGGUAACCUGCCUGGUAGCGGGGGAUAACUAUUGGAAACGAUAGCUAAUACCGCAUAAGAGUAGAUGUUGCAUGACAUUUGCUUAAAAGGUGCAAUUGCAUCACUACCAGAUGGACCUGCGUUGUAUUAGCUAGUUGGUGAGGUAACGGCUCACCAAGGCAACGAUACAUAGCCGACCUGAGAGGGUGAUCGGCCACACUGGGACUGAGACACGGCCCAGACUCCUACGGGAGGCAGCAGUAGGGAAUCUUCGGCAAUGGACGGAAGUCUGACCGAGCAACGCCGCGUGAGUGAAGAAGGUUUUCGGAUCGUAAAGCUCUGUUGUAAGAGAAGAACGAGUGUGAGAGUGGAAAGUUCACACUGUGACGGUAUCUUACCAGAAAGGGACGGCUAACUACGUG